AUGGACGGCCCAAUGAAGCACGUCAUUGCCUUGCUGAUGGAUGAGAGUAAAGAGUUGAAAGUGGUGCCGAUUGUUGGAUCAGGAGGGCUGGGGAAGACGACCCUGGCCAUGGAAGUCUAUCGCAAGAUUGCAUUAGGAGGAGACUUCCAGUGUCAAGCUUGUGUGUCAGUGUCGCGCACACUUGAUCUGGUGAAGCUCCUCAAAGAUAUCUUGUCUCAGAUCGAUAAAGAUGCGUACAAAGAUUGUCAGAAUUGGGAAAAGGAACAGCUAAUCCGUGAAAUCAAACAUAUCUUGACAGGAAAGAGGUACUUCAUUGUUAUUGAUGAUGUAUGGAAAGAACAAGAUUGGAAAUUGGUCAAGGCAGCAUUUCCUGACAAUAAUAAUGGUAGUAGAAUAAUUGCUACUACACGACCGGUGAAGCUAAUCUAUGUUGUUCCAUAUCCAAUGAGCAACCAUAUCAAAUGGCACCUCUAG
rnacentral:rRNA from 1 species